GAUGAACGCUGGCGGCGUGCUUAACACAUGCAAGUCGAACGGUGAAGGCGGAGCUUGCUCUGCUGGAUCAGUGGCGAACGGGUGAGUAACACGUGAGCAAUCUGCCCCUGACUCUGGGAUAAGCGCUGGAAACGGCGUCUAAUACUGGAUACGAGCUGCGAAGGCAUCUUCAGCAGCUGGAAAGAAUUUCGGUCAGGGAUGAGCUCGCGGCCUAUCAGCUUGUUGGUGAGGUAAUGGCUCACCAAGGCGUCGACGGGUAGCCGGCCUGAGAGGGUGACCGGCCACACUGGGACUGAGACACGGCCCAGACUCCUACGGGAGGCAGCAGUGGGGAAUAUUGCACAAUGGGCGAAAGCCUGAUGCAGCAACGCCGCGUGAGGGACGACGGCCUUCGGGUUGUAAACCUCUUUUAGCAGGGAAGAAGCGAAAGUGACGGUACCUGCAGAAAAAGCGCCGGCUAACCACGUG
rnacentral:rRNA from 1 species